CAUUUUUCGCUCAAAAUCUCCACAUUCAGCUUUGGACAGAUUUCCUGCAAAACAAAGAGAAACUUAUAUCAAAAUUAGCACAAAAAGGGCUUUCGGACACACUAAACUUAAGGAAAAGUAUUAAUUAUACCGUGAAACCACGGUAUAUCAACACCCUCAACUUAAAUUCGGUGUUUGUCCUCAAGCGACGCACUAUGACUCACUACACAAUCUUUGUAC
rnacentral:lncRNA from 1 species